GACGAACGCUGGCGGCGUGCCUAAUACAUGCAAGUCGAACGCUUCUUUCCUCCCGAGUGCUUGCACUCAAUUGGAAAGAGGAGUGGCGGACGGGUGAGUAACACGUGGGUAACCUACCCAUCAGAGGGGGAUAACACUUGGAAACAGGUGCUAAUACCGCAUAACAGUUUAUGCCGCAUGGCAUAAGAGUGAAAGGCGCUUUCGGGUGUCGCUGAUGGAUGGACCCGCGGUGCAUUAGCUAGUUGGUGAGGUAACGGCUCACCAAAGCCACGAUGCAUAGCCGACCUGAGAGGGUGAUCGGCCACACUGGGACUGAGACACGGCCCAGACUCCUACGGGAGGCAGCAGUAGGGAAUCUUCGGCAAUGGACGAAAGUCUGACCGAGCAACGCCGCGUGAGUGAAGAAGGUUUUCGGAUCGUAAAACUCUGUUGUUAGAGAAGAACAAGGACGUUAGUAACUGAACGUCCCCUGACGGUAUCUAACCAGAAAGCCACGGCUAACUACGUG
rnacentral:rRNA from 1 species